GUUCCCUCCUGAUCUCUACUACCAUAUAUAUGUGUUAGUAGAGGGGUUCUCCAUGCUUCUUUAUGUCUGUCCUCUGUUCAACGACACAUGUUUUCACCUGGAUUUUUCUUCAAGAACAAUCAGCUUGGUUGUAAAACCAGAAUGAGAGGCAGGACAUCUGUCUCCAAUAUAAACAAACUUUGUGGAAUUCAGCCUGUCAUCAACCCUACCAUAGAUCUUCAGAUGAUCCCAGUCAUUCUGCAACUUACAGCCUCACCCCAGGAGCAAAUCCCAGCAGCUCCAAGUGGAGGGCUAUGUGAUCCAGGGUUGUUGCUGCCCUCCAUGGAAACUUCAAAGUAGACUCCCAGUGGCCCCAAACACAUAAGAGAACCACCAUCUCACCAGGUCUCUGGGAAUGAAAGUUGGAGAGACACAAUAGCCUGGAGUUGGAUCAGUCUGAAGCCUGAAGCCGGUGCUCAACCUGAGUCUUGCAUCUGAGUUACAAAAAUCUAACUGCUUGAACCAGCAUCUGAUGCCUCCCAGGGCACCUGUUAGCAGGAAACUGGAUUGGGACCAGAGCCAGGACUCAAACUGCAGCACUUCAAUGGAGAAGUCCCAAAUGGCAUCUUAAGCACUGCUCCAAAUACCCUCCCCACGGAAAGCACAAAGACUUGAAACCUGGGCAAAGUGACAUACAGAACUGAGGCCUUUAUGCUACGGAUUCAGGCAUGAAGCACGACAAUACUGGCAUUCUUCCUGUAGAUGUGAAGGAAAGCUUGGGGCUAGCUGUUCCCUGGGAUGCCUCUCGCAAAGUGUCUAGCGUCCCUGUCAUCUGAGUUACAGUUCUGAUUGGUGCUGCCGUUAAAGCUGCAGAGGACUGAGGAUGGACAGCAUGCUCUGAAUCAUCUCCUGGCAGCAGCCUCUGCUAUUAAAGACCCUCACUUGGCAAAGGAGGUUGUACGUCUCUCCUAUUACAAUGCAUUUCAUCAAGUAAAUAUUGGUGUAUGGUCCACAAAGAGCUCUAAGUAAUUUCACACUGUGUGAGCAGGUAAUGUCUGUCAAUCAACUAAGGUUCUCCUGGGACCCAAAAAGAAGAAUUCAUACAAGCCCAUCCAUUUAGAUGGAUUAGACAAUGUAAUGACCUACUGUCCCUUUUAUAGGAUGCACAUGGAAGAACCAUUGCU